rnacentral:rRNA from 1 species
UACGAGGGGGCAAGCGGUUGUUCGGAUUUAUUGGGCGUAAAGGGUGCGUAGGCGGUUUGGCAAGUCUUGUGUGAAAUCUUUGGGCUCAACCCAAAGUCUGCAUAAGAAACUGCCGGGCUUGAGUAUGGGAGAGGUGAGUGGAAUUCCCAGUGUAGCGGUGAAAUGCGUAGAUAUUGGGAGGAACACCAGUGGCGAAGGCGGCUCACUGGACCGGUACUGACGCUGAUGCGCGAAAGCGUGGGGAGCAAACGGG